rnacentral:misc_RNA from 1 species
UGACACCAGCAUUGCUUUCUACAGGAAUUGUAGUUUCAUUAUUGACCUCUUGGCAGAAAGAUCCAACUGUUCACUAUCAGUCAAUACGACGGUCUGGAAACUCCUCUCUAGUUCUUCAUUACUGGAACUUGCAUGAGGCAUUCCAUUGGGUAUGCCAACAACAACUUUUGGAAGUUGGUGAACUCAUUUCCAAAGCCCAACCCACUUCUAAACAUCUAUG